GACGAACGCUGGCGGCGUGCUUAACACAUGCAAGUCGAACGGAAAGGCCCUGCUUUUGUGGGGUGCUCGAGUGGCGAACGGGUGAGUAACACGUGAGUAACCUGCCCUUGACUUUGGGAUAACUUCAGGAAACUGGGGCUAAUACCGGAUAGGAGCUCCUGCUGCAUGGUGGGGGUUGGAAAGUUUCGGCGGUUGGGGAUGGACUCGCGGCUUAUCAGCUUGUUGGUGGGGUAGUGGCUUACCAAGGCUCUGACGGGUAGCCGGCCUGAGAGGGUGACCGGCCACAUUGGGACUGAGAUACGGCCCAGACCCCUACGGGAGGCAGCAGUGGGGAAUAUUGCACAAUGGGCGGAAGCCUGAUGCAGCAACGCCGCGUGCGGGAUGACGGCCUUCGGGUUGUAAACCGCUUUCGCCUGUGACGAAGCGUGAGUGACGGUAAUGGGUAAAGAAGCACCGGCUAACUACGUG
rnacentral:rRNA from 1 species